rnacentral:rRNA from 1 species
AAGCGGUGAUGAUGUGGAUUAAUUCGAUGCAACGCGUAAAACCUUACCUACCCUUGACAUGUCUGGAACCUUGCUGAGAGGCGAGGGUGCCUUCGGAGCCAGAACACAGGUGCUGCAUGGCUGUCGUCAGCUCGUGUCGUGAGAUGUUGGGUUAAGUCCCGCAAACGAGCGCAACCCUUGUCAUUAGUUGCCAUCAUUUAGUUGGGCACUCUAAUGAGACUGCCGGUGACAAACCGGAGGAAGUGGGGAUGACGUCAAGUCCUCAUGGCCCUUAUGGGUAGGGCUUCACACGUCAUACAAUGGUCGGUACAGAGGGUUGCCAAGCCGCGAGGUGGAGCCAAUCCCAAAAGCCGGUCUCAGUUCGGAUUGGAGUCUGCAACUCGACUCCAUGAAGUUGGAAUCGCUAGUAAUCGUGGAUCAGCAUGCCACGGUGAAUACGUUCCCGGGCCUC